ACUGGCCUGGGACUACCGG
rnacentral:miRNA from 1 species